GAGGUUGUGGCUCAGUGGUACAGCACUUGCCUAGCACGCGUGGGACACUGGGUUUGAUCCCCAGC
rnacentral:tRNA from 1 species